rnacentral:SRP_RNA from 1 species
GCUGGGUGUGGUGGCGUGCAUCCGUAAUCCCAGCUACUUGGGAGGCUGAGGCAGGAGGAUCAGUUGAGCCCAGGAGGUUGAGGUUGCAGUGAGCUGUGAUGGUGCCACUGCGCUCCAGCCUGGGUGACAGAGUGAGAGACCCUGCCCCCACCCCCACCCCCCAAAAAAAAGGGAGAGAGAGAAAACGAUGUGGAAGCUUACGCUCUGUCACCCAGGCUGGAGUGCAGUGGCGCAAUCUCAGCUCACUGCAAGCUCCGCCUCCCGGGUUCACGCCAUUCUCCUGCCUCAG